UCCUUUUUGUGUAGUGUUUAUGCUUACCUGUAGAUAGAUUGCAUCCAGUGUUGAUGUGAGACUUUCGAACGGCUGAAAAGGGACUUGUGUCUGACAGAGAUUUGUUUAACGCGUCCACCAUGUGCUGCUCCUCGACAGAUCCUAUUUAAAAAUUGUUACAUGAAAAAAAAUAUAUGUAUCAUUAUACGCAGUGAGUUACUUAAGUAAGAAAAAAGCAUUCUGUAUUUAGGGGUGGAACAUCCCUUUCAAGAGAUGUCCCUGUUUGCUCUGUUUCAAUGAGGAUUUAGGUAAAAAACCAAAUAAUAACAAUGACUUUUACAGUAAGUACCCCGGUUAUUAUGGCGUCCUACAAAAAUAAAAAAUGCAUUUCAUACCAGGCAUAUUGGUCUCCGUUGUUCACCCUUUUCUUCAGUUUUGUUUCCUGGUGGCAUACUUUGCAUUUCAUUUUUCUUUUAAGCAGUUUAAUCUUCUGAAGAUGUUUUAUAAGCUUCAGUGGGCCUCUUCUAGAAAGCUCCUCGUUACUUAAUUUUUUCAGUCGUGUAAAAUUUCCCAUUUUUGGCCAAAAUAUCAUUUAAUGAGUUUCCAGUUAUGCUAGCUCUGAGCUGUAAUGUCGCUUCUGGCCAGAGAAAGGCGCGCAUUUGCUGCUUCCGUCUUCCGACGUGACCAAUAGGAGACCGCGAUGCUGUGCCCUUUCACCUCUAGGGCAUAACCAAGGUGGAGUAAUGGCUUCCUCUAGCUCUGUGAACAUGACGAGCCCUGGUCGAUCUACAAUAGGCAGGCGAACGAGGGCAAAAAAGGGAAGUAACGACGUGGACAAGGUGGAUGUCAGUGUUACAAGUGGUGUGACUAUUGCUCCAACUGCACAGCUGACAGACAGAAGACGAUCACAAGAGGUGGAGAUCUGUAAGAUGAAGCUAGAGUGGCAAAAGGAUUAGAUUGAUGAGCUCACCAAAGAAAGAGACUAUCUAAAGGAGCAAUUAGCAGCAUGUCUCACAAAAGAACCCACAAGGUCUGUCCAGCAUCCCAGUGACGUACUGAGCAUGUCUUCGCUUUCCUCUGACGGGUCAUUUGAUAAGGGUUCUGACUCCUCCACGAGCACAACUUCAUCAGAUGAAGACAGUCAGAAGAGGAAGAAGAAAGGCAAAGCCAAAAAGAAUAAGAAGUCAAAGAAACAUGACCAAAUUGCAAG